rnacentral:rRNA from 1 species
GGGUUGUGAGGUUAAGCGACUAAGCGUACACGGUGGAUGCCCUGGCAGUCAGAGGCGAUGAAGGACGUGCUAAUCUGCGAUAAGCGUCGGUAAGGUGAUAUGAACCGUUAUAACCGGCGAUUUCCGAAUGGGGAAACCCAGUGUGAUUCGUCACACUAUCAUUAACUGAAUCCAUAGGUUAAUGAGGCGAACCGGGGGAACUGAAACAUCUAAGUACCCCGAGGAAAAGAAAUCAACCGAGAUUCCCCCAGUAGCGGCGAGCGAACGGGGAGCAGCCCAGAGCCUGAAUCAGUGUGUGUGUUAGUGGAAGCGUCUGGAAAGGCGCGCGAUACAGGGUGACAGCCCCGUACACAAAAAUGCACAUGCUGUGAGCUCGAUGAGUAGGGCGGGACACGUGGUAUCCUGUCUGAAUAUGGGGGGACCAUCCUCCAAGGCUAAAUACUCCUGACUGACCGAUAGUGAACCAGUACCGUGAGGGAAAGGCGAAAAGAACCCCGGCGAGGGGAGUGAAAAAGAACCUGAAACCGUGUACGUACAAGCAGUGGGAGCACGCUUAGGCGUGUGACUGCGUACCUUUUGUAUAAUGGGUCAGCGACUUAUAUUCUGUAGCAAGGUUAACCGAAUAGGGGAGCCGAAGGGAAACCGAGUCUUAACUGGGCGUUAAGUUGCAGGGUAUAGACCCGAAACCCGGUGAUCUAGCCAUGGGCAGGUUGAAGGUUGGGUAACACUAACUGGAGGACCGAACCGACUAAUGUUGAAAAAUUAGCGGAUGACUUGUGGCUGGGGGUGAAAGGCCAAUCAAACCGGGAGAUAGCUGGUUCUCCCCGAAAGCUAUUUAGGUAGCGCCUCGUGAAUUCAUCUCCGGGGGUAGAGCACUGUUUCGGCAAGGGGGUCAUCCCGACUUACCAACCCGAUGCAAACUGCGAAUACCGGAGAAUGUUAUCACGGGAGACACACGGCGGGUGCUAACGUCCGUCGUGAAGAGGGAAACAACCCAGACCGCCAGCUAAGGUCCCAAAGUCAUGGUUAAGUGGGAAACGAUGUGGGAAGGCCCAGACAGCCAGGAUGUUGGCUUAGAAGCAGCCAUCAUUUAAAGAAAGCGUAAUAGCUCACUGGUCGAGUCGGCCUGCGCGGAAGAUGUAACGGGGCUAAACCAUGCACCGAAGCUGCGGCAGCGACACUAUGUGUUGUUGGGUAGGGGAGCGUUCUGUAAGCCUGUGAAGGUGUACUGUGAGGUAUGCUGGAGGUAUCAGAAGUGCGAAUGCUGACAUAAGUAACGAUAAAGCGGGUGAAAAGCCCGCUCGCCGGAAGACCAAGGGUUCCUGUCCAACGUUAAUCGGGGCAGGGUGAGUCGACCCCUAAGGCGAGGCCGAAAGGCGUAGUCGAUGGGAAACAGGUUAAUAUUCCUGUACUUGGUGUUACUGCGAAGGGGGGACGGAGAAGGCUAUGUUGGCCGGGCGACGGUUGUCCCGGUUUAAGCGUGUAGGCUGGUUUUCCAGGCAAAUCCGGAAAACUAAGGCUGAGGCGUGAUGACGAGGCACUACGGUGCUGAAGCAACAAAUGCCCUGCUUCCAGGAAAAGCCUCUAAGCAUCAGGUAACAUCAAAUCGUACCCCAAACCGACACAGGUGGUCAGGUAGAGAAUACCAAGGCGCUUGAGAGAACUCGGGUGAAGGAACUAGGCAAAAUGGUGCCGUAACUUCGGGAGAAGGCACGCUGAUAUGUAGGUGAAGUCCCUCGCGGAUGGAGCUGAAAUCAGUCGAAGAUACCAGCUGGCUGCAACUGUUUAUUAAAAACACAGCACUGUGCAAACACGAAAGUGGACGUAUACGGUGUGACGCCUGCCCGGUGCCGGAAGGUUAAUUGAUGGGGUUAGCGCAAGCGAAGCUCUUGAUCGAAGCCCCGGUAAACGGCGGCCGUAACUAUAACGGUCCUAAGGUAGCGAAAUUCCUUGUCGGGUAAGUUCCGACCUGCACGAAUGGCGUAAUGAUGGCCAGGCUGUCUCCACCCGAGACUCAGUGAAAUUGAACUCGCUGUGAAGAUGCAGUGUACCCGCGGCAAGACGGAAAGACCCCGUGAACCUUUACUAUAGCUUGACACUGAACAUUGAGCCUUGAUGUGUAGGAUAGGUGGGAGGCUUGGAAGUGUGGACGCCAGUCUGCAUGGAGCCGACCUUGAAAUACCACCCUUUAAUGUUUGAUGUUCUAACGUUGACCCGUAAUCCGGGUUGCGGACAGUGUCUGGUGGGUAGUUUGACUGGGGCGGUCUCCUCCUAAAGAGUAACGGAGGAGCACGAAGGUUGGCUAAUCCUGGUCGGACAUCAGGAGGUUAGUGCAAUGGCAUAAGCCAGCUUGACUGCGAGCGUGACGGCGCGAGCAGGUGCGAAAGCAGGUCAUAGUGAUCCGGUGGUUCUGAAUGGAAGGGCCAUCGCUCAACGGAUAAAAGGUACUCCGGGGAUAACAGGCUGAUACCGCCCAAGAGUUCAUAUCGACGGCGGUGUUUGGCACCUCGAUGUCGGCUCAUCACAUCCUGGGGCUGAAGUAGGUCCCAAGGGUAUGGCUGUUCGCCAUUUAAAGUGGUACGCGAGCUGGGUUUAGAACGUCGUGAGACAGUUCGGUCCCUAUCUGCCGUGGGCGCUGGAGAACUGAGGGGGGCUGCUCCUAGUACGAGAGGACCGGAGUGGACGCAUCACUGGUGUUCGGGUUGUCAUGCCAAUGGCACUGCCCGGUAGCUAAAUGCGGAAGAGAUAAGUGCUGAAAGCAUCUAAGCACGAAACUUGCCCCGAGAUGAGUUCUCCCUGACUCCUUGAGAGUCCUGAAGGAACGUUGAAGACGACGACGUUGAUAGGCCGGGUGUGUAAGCGCAGCGAUGCGUUGAGCUAACCGGUACUAAUGAACCGUGAGGCUUAACCUUACAACGCCGAAG